AGCGAACGCUGGCGGCAGGCCUAACACAUGCAAGUCGAACGAACCUUUCGGGGUUAGUGGCGGACGGGUGAGUAACACGUGGGAACGUGCCGUUAUGUUCGGAAUAACUCAGGGAAACUUGUGCUAAUACCGAAUGUGCCCUUCGGGGGAAAGAUUUAUCGCCCUUAGAGCGGCCCGCGUCUGAUUAGCUAGUUGGUUGAGGUAAUGGCUCACCAAGGCGACGAUCAGUAGCUGGUCUGAGAGGAUGAUCAGCAACAUUGGGACUGAGACACAGCCCAGACUCCUACGGGAGGCAGCAGUGGGGAAUCUUGCGCAAUGGGCGAAAUCAUGACGCAGCCAUGCCGCGUGAAUGAUGAAGGUCUUAGGAUUGUAAAAUUCUUUCACCGGGGACGGUACUGACGGUACCCGGAGAAGAAGCCCCGGCUAACUUCGUG
rnacentral:rRNA from 1 species